UACAGAGGUCCCAAGCGUUGUUCGGAUUCAUUGGGCGUAAAGGGUGCGUAGGCGGUUGGGUAAGUCUGAUGUGAAAUCCCGGGGCUCAACUCCGGAACUGCAUUGGAUACUGCCUGACUAGAGAACUGGAGAGGAGACUGGAAUUUACGGUGUAACAGUGAAAUGCGUAGAGAUCGUAAGGAAGACCAGUGGCGAAGGCGAGUCUCUGGACAGAUUCUGACGCUGAGGCACGAAGGCCAGGGGAGCAAACGGG
rnacentral:rRNA from 1 species